UGAAGGGUCACCAAGGGGGCUGGGAUGGGGGAAAGGAAAGUGGUCAUCUUCCUGUGCAGGGCAUUGUGGAAGCACAGCACCAGGUCAGCCCCAUCCCAGGGGACUGCAAAAUACCCCUUCUCCUUGUCCCCACGCACCACCGCCUCAUAAGAACCCAUGGUGGAAGUAAAGCUCAACUUGUAAACUCGACAGCUACAUCUACACCGGGAGAUAUUGGAGCACGAGAAUUAAAAUCUGCAUAACGUUUACAUAGCUCAGUUAUUUUUUGUCGGUUUUGCUUUUUUUUGUAUCCACGGCCAUACAAUCACAAUAUAUAUUUAUAUAUAUACUUCUUAAAUUACACACUCAAUGUACAAAAAAACAGGUGCGUUGCUGAGGCGACCGCGUUGCCUUAACCGUGUCGGGUUGGUUUUUUUGGGUUUUUUUCUUUUUUUUGCCUAACGGAAGAAACAGAGCUGGGGGCUGGGGAGGUCUUGUCUACGGCACCUGAUAUGCAGCACAUUUAUUUAGUCGGGAAGACCACUCGGUCACUGGGGCCAAAUAAGUCAUGAACCAAACAGAGGGAGGAGAAGGAGCUGGAGGGAUGAGGGGUGGAUGAUGAGCUGAGAGCUGCGGUGAUACGGAAAAAAAUAUGAAA